CCUGUUUCAUUAUUCGAUCUGGUAACUGUAUCUUUCCUAUUAUGUGUCUCAGAUCACAAAGAAAAAACCCAGCCAGAAACCCACGUAUGUCAGCCUAAGACAGAGUCUGGAAGACAUGAAAUCUCACUGCUUAGAAAAUGGUGUCAAUAGGAUAUCAAUACCUCGAAUUGGCUGUGGCCUGGACCAGCUGCUGUGGUCAAAGGUGUCAAAGAUCCUGGAACAGAUCUUUAAAGAGACAAAUAUCUCCAUCACAGUGUACAGCCUGCCCUGUGUUGGGUCACAGCUUCAAAUG